rnacentral:lncRNA from 1 species
GGAUUGCAGCGUCCGCUCUGCACAGUUGGCGGACCUGUUCCCUGGUCUUUCGAGGUGUGGCGGGUUGAGUGACGCUAAGCACGACAAGUGUGGAGCCUAUGGUAGCUAAGGAGCUCCGAGCCGCCCGCCGGCUUCCUCCACCAGCUUGUGAGCUCUGAGGAUACAAAACACAAGAUGCAUAAUGUACUUGAGCCUCGCGCUUUUGUUGUUAGGUUUUGAGGUAGGUUUCCUAUCCGCCUUGGAACCCAGGAAGAAUGAGUCAAAGCUACACAGCAUAGUAAAUGACAGAAAAAGUACAGACAUGUUUUCGAAAGUUGUUAGUGGUUUAGGUAGUAAAGAGCUUGGAAGACCUUGUCUUUGUAGGGUUGCAAGGUUUAGCAAAUAAAAUUACAGGACUCAGGUAAAACUUUAAUUAAGAACUCUUUAAACGAAGACGCUAAACCCCUCCCCAUUUUACUUAAUUUGAAGAUUAAAUUUCGCCGAGAGUUUUAUUUCUAUUUUUAUUUCUUUUAAAACUCUUAA